rnacentral:rRNA from 1 species
CCUACGGGGGGCAGCAGUGGGGAAUAUUGCACAAUGGGGGAAACCCUGAUGCAGCGACGCCGCGUGAGUGAAGAAGGAUUUCGGUAUGUAAAGCUCUAUCAGCAGGGAAGAAAAUGACGGUACCUGAGUAAGAAGCACCGGCUAACUACGUGCCAGCAGCCGCGGGAAUACGUAGGGGGCAAGCGUUAGCCGGAUUGACGGGGGGUAAAGGGAGCGUAGACGGCAGCACAAGUCGGGAGUGAAAUGCCGGGGCUUAACCCCUGAACUGCUUUGGAAACUGUGCAGCUAGAGUGCAGGAGAGGUAAGUGGAAUUCCUAGUGUAGCGGUGAAAUGCGUAGAUAUUAGGAGGAACACCAGUGGCGAAGGCGGCUUCCUGGACUGUAACUGACGUUGAGGCUCGAACGCGUGGGGAGCAAACAGGAUUAGAUACCCGGGUAGUC